rfam:Amazona aestiva scaffold_28, whole genome shotgun sequence.
AAAAGGGCUUUUUUUUCUCUAACUAAAAAGCCACAUAACUUUACCAUAAACACUAAUU